GACGAAGAACGUAGCGAAAUGCGAUACUUGGUGUGAAUUGCAGAAUCCCGUGAACCAUCGAGUCUUUGAACGCAAGUUGCGCCCGAAGCCAUCAGGUUGAGGGCACGUCUGCCUGGGCGUCACAUAUCGUUGCUCGAUGCCUAUCGCAUUGCGAUAGGACUUAGGGCGAAUGAUGGCUUCCCGUGAGCGUUGUUGCCUCGCGGUUGGUUGAAAAUCGAGUCCUUGGUAGGGUGUGCCAUGAUAGAUGGUGGUCGAGUUAGCACAAGACCGAUCAUGUGCAUGCUCCCCAAAAUAUGGCCUCUGUGACCCACACGCGUCUUUUGACGCUCAUGACGAGACCUCAGGUCAGGCGGGGCUACCCGCUGAAUUUAAGCAUAUCAAUAAGCGGAGGA
rnacentral:misc_RNA from 1 species